rnacentral:rRNA from 1 species
CAGCCGCGGUAAUACGGAGGAUCCAAGCGUUAUCCGGAAUCAUUGGGUUUAAAGGGUCCGUAGGCGGUCUUGUAAGUCAGUGGUGAAAGCCCAUCGCUCAACGGUGGAACGGCCAUUGAUACUGCAGGACUUGAAUUAUUGGGAAGUAACUAGAAUAUGUAGUGUAGCGGUGAAAUGCUUAGAGAUUACAUGGAAUACCAAUUGCGAAGGCAGGUUACUACCAAUUGAUUGACGCUGAUGGACGAAAGCGUGGGUAGCGAACAGGAUUAGAUACCCCUGUAGUCCCUGUCUCUUAUACACA